UUUAACUGAAGAGUUUGAUCAUGGCUCAGAUUGAACGCUGGCGGCAGGCUUAACACAUGCAAGUCGAGCGGGGGAAGGUAGCUUGCUACUGGACCUAGCGGCGGACGGGUG
rnacentral:rRNA from 1 species